ensembl:lncRNA
CUCUCACUGGGGCAGAGCUGCCACAGGCAAAACUAAAAAAAGGUCUUGUGUUUAUGAGCGCAGGGUCACUUCAGUCCUGUCCGACUCUUUGCAACCUGUAGACUGUAGCCUGCCAGGCUUCUCUGUCAGAGAAGGGAUUCUAGGCAAGAAUACUGGAGCAUAUUGGCCAAUACUGGUUGCCAAACCCUUCAAAAACACUAUUUUUCCUGCUGCCCUAGCCACCAACCCCACUGAGUACCUGGUGCUGCCAGAACGCCUGCAACCCAAGAAGCUGCACCACUUCCACACCUGGCCCUCACAGGGGGCAAACCCAAGCCCUCCAGGGCAGCCUCAGGAGCUAAACCCCAGUGGGCGACUCACAUGUAGAGGUUGAAAUAAAACCACAGUUGAAACCCAGGGGCAGUGUGGCUAAGGAAGAAGACCCAAAACCUCUCCACCAGCUGUACAAGCUGCAGAUUAAAUCCACACGGUCAACUAAGCAGACUCUGUGUCUAUGGAAUAUAUAAAAGGCCAUUGAGAGCUCCCACAAAAGAAAACGCACUAGCUCUGACAGCUGUGGACAUUGGAGGCAAGAACACACAGGAGUAGGACCCGAUUAGAACCUGAGCAGCCCCCACAGCAGGUCCAGAGAUCAGUACAGUGUUGGAGGGCAUCCCAGGAAGCAAACCACUUGUGGGAUCUUCAUUCCUGACCAGAGAUCAAACCCUGAGCCUUUGGAGUGGGAGCAAGACUCUAAGAUCCUAGACUACCAGAGAACUAACCCUAGGGAGUAUCAAAUAGUGAGAAUUCACAUAAAGGAAACCACUUGAGUACAAGACCUGGCAUCACCCAACCACCAGUAGCACCCUGUGCAGGAUGCCUCAUCUAAACAACAAACAAAACAAAAACACUAACCCAAUUAUCAGCAGACAGGACUACCACCUUACUCAGUCUUGCCCAUCAGAGGAAAAACAAACAAGCAAAAACUCAGCACAAAUCUCACCCUAUACAAAGCUCACACAAACCACUGGACCAAUCUUAGGAGGGCAGAAAGCAAAAGCAAGAAAGAAUUCAACCUUCUUCAAGGAAAGAAUUCAACUUUCCUUUAAGUUUAGGAAAAGGAGACCUCAAACAAUAAUUUGAAAAAAAAGAAAAGGCAGAGAAAUACUGCACAAAUGAAGGAAAAAAACUAGGAACACAGAAGUCCAAAUAAAUGAAGAAGAAAUAGGAAAAUUACCUGAAAAAAGAAUUCAGGAUAAUGAUAGUAAAGAUGAUCAAAAACCUUGAAAACAAAAUGGAGAAAAUGCAAGAAUCAAUUAACAAAGACCUAGAAGAAUUAAAGAAUAAACAUACAGAGACAAACGACACAAUUACUGAAAUUAAAAAUACUCUAGAAGGAAUUAAUAGCAGAAUAUCUGAAGCAGAAGAAUGAAUCAGUGAGCUGGAAGAUAAAAUGGUGGAAAUAACUUCUGAAGCACAGAAUAAAGAAAAAG